ACAAGCGGUGGAGCAUGUGGUUAAUUCGACGCAACGCGAAGAACCUUACCAGGGCUUGACAUCCCCUGACCGCGUAUGAAAGUACGUUUUCACCCUCGGGUGACAGGGAGACAGGUGGUGCAUGGUUGUCGUCAGCUCGUGUCGUGAGAUGUUGGGUUAAGUCCCGCAACGAGCGCAACCCCUACGUUUAGUUGCUAACGCGUGAAGGCGAGCACUCUAGACGAACUGCCGUUGACAAAACGGAGGAAGGUGGGAUGACGUCAAAUCAUCAUGCCCCUUAUGUUCUGGGCUACACACGUGCUACAAUGGCCGGUACAGACGGACGCAAAGCCGCGAGGUGGAGCAAAUCCUAAAAAGCCGGUCUCAGUUCGGAUUGCAGGCUGCAAUUCGCCUGCAUGAAGUCGGAAUCGCUAGUAAUCGCAGGUCAGCAUACUGCGGUGAAUACGUUCCCGGGUCUU
rnacentral:rRNA from 1 species